CACGAAUUCAUAAUUAUAUGUUGCAAAUUCAUUAACUGGUCACAUAACGUUAAAUUAAUUGAUCACAGAUUAUUUUAUGGUCACAAAUCAAAAAAUUUAUUGGUUACAGGUUAUUUCGAAAAUUAUUUCGAGAUCAUAGAUCAUUCAAAUUACAGGUCAAAUUUUUAUCUAUUGGUCACAGACGCGUAAAUAGUUGGUUACAAACGCCUAAAUGUUGGUCACAGACACCCUCACCCACCUGCCACCACUGCAACAACAACUACCAACAUUAUCAACAACACAACAAUAAUUGGUCACCACCACCGUCAACAACUUCACGUGUACCUCCAACAAAUAUUGCCGUCAGAUCCAUCAUCACCGCCAACAUCUCUACCUGUACAACCAACAAAAACUAUCUAAAAUCCCCCAACAACACAAAAACCACUCCCAAACCACCACAACACGACGCCACCAUUGCUGAAAGCUAUAGUAGACCCAAACCACCACCACCACCACAAGCAGUGUAAACACCACCACUACACGUCGACACUGCCAUCACUGAAAAUCACAGUAGCCCCAAACCACCUCUACCACUACCACAUCCCGACGCCGACACUACUGAAAAUCACACCGGAGAUCAUAACGACCAAGUUUUUGACACCACAAUGCUUACACUCCUGACAAGCAGCCUCCACCACCACCACACCCCAACGUCUCCAUCUUCGAAAAUCACAGCAGUCCCAAAUCACCACUGAAAACCAAGCAGUCCCAAACCACUACUACCACCAUCACACCUCGACGCCGCCACACUAGUUGCUAUGGUGACCGCACCUGGGGAGAGAAAAAGGCAUCGCCGUUGGGUGGUAGUGAUUGACAAGGAUACAGUGAAGUUAGAGAGAGACGAGAGAAGUGAGAGAAGGAAGAUGGAUUAAAAAUGAUUAGGGUUUGGGAGUUAAUUUGGAUAUUUAAUUAUUAUAUCAAUACCUGAUUUUUG
rnacentral:lncRNA from 1 species